CGAACGCUGGCGGCGUGCUUAACACAUGCAAGUCGCACGGCAAGGCCCUGCUUUUGUGGGGUGCUCGAGUGGCGAACGGGUGAGUAACACGUGAGUAACCUGCCCUUGACUUUGGGAUAACUUCAGGAAACUGGGGCUAAUACCGGAUAGGAGCUCCUGCUGCAUGGUGGGGGUUGGAAAGUUUCGGCGGUUGGGGAUGGACUCGCGGCUUAUCAGCUUGUUGGUGGGGUAGUGGCUUACCAAGGCUUUGACGGGUAGCCGGCCUGAGAGGGUGACCGGCCACAUUGGGACUGAGAUACGGCCCAGACUCCUACGGGAGGCAGCAGUGGGGAAUAUUGCACAAUGGGCGGAAGCCUGAUGCAGCAACGCCGCGUGCGGGAUGACGGCCUUCGGGUUGUAAACCGCUUUCGCCUGUGACGAAGCGUGAGUGACGGUAAUGGGUAAAGAAGCACCGGCUAACUACGUG
rnacentral:rRNA from 1 species